CCAGACUGUCAGCCAACAGCAAAUGGAGAAAAUGAGACCUUCCAAAGAAGAGGUUAAACUGAACUCUGAUUGCACUAUAAGGGUACUUUGGAAGACCCUGACCUGGAGAUAAAUGCGGGAUUGGGACCCACUCUCGGGGUCUCAUAACUGGCCAUUGUUCGGCACGCCAAAGUCUCAGACUAAGAAUCCGGCUCGGGUUUGGAGGCCUAGGAUCUCAGGUCUCUAGAGACGGGCGGAUCAAAGGUCGUUGUCACGGCAGGAGACCUGUGUGUCAUCGGGGGAGUCAGAAUAUAUAUGUCUGUGUGCCCAGAUCUUUGGGUACAGAGCUCGAAAAAUACGACUGAAUGGACUUUUAACAUUGUAAACCAGCGAGUUGUUUGGUAUGCCUCCCCGCUCGCUGUGAAAAUGGAGACACCUCUUUCUCCCUUAUUAGGGAGAGAGAGAGAGAGCCUGUGGUAUGUCGAAUACUGGGUGAAACACGAAGUCUUUGGGGUAUCUGCAAGUCUGUGACUUUGCUUUUGCUUUGCUCACACUUGAACACUCGGUGGCUAUGAAAAAAAACACCCUAUCCAGUUCUGAAGCAGGGUUUGACCUGAAACAUGGAGAUAUCAACAACUCCUUCCCCUGACCCAGCCUGCACAGAUGCUGCUUGGCCCUCCUGAAUUCCUGCAGCAGAUUAUCCUGUGGUUGAAAGCAAGAUAGCUUGGUGCCGAUAUUUUGAGAUGCCUAAACCUGGGAGUAGUUGCUACUGAGCUCACACAAUCCUCACCCCUUUUACCCUUGCUUUGUUCUACAGUUCUCUCUACUGUUACAGCUAGAGAUGUCACUGAAAUGGGGCUUCUUUUUCCCCGGCAUCUCCAAAUAUCUAUCUGAGCACCUUCAUAUUUCAUAUCUACAUCUUGCCCUUGGUGGCAUAAAUCAAGGUGUGACAUCAUCUGUAAAAACUUGCUUCCAUGGAGUGCCAUGAGCAUUAGCAUAACCUGAAGGAGCCCCAUUAACAUCGAUUUUGCUGUCGGACCAAUGCAAGAUAUUCAGGCAGAUGACCACAGCUUGAGUAAAGAUAUAGGUUUUAAGGAGUCUUGAACUCUUAAACACUUUGCAUUGUGUGCGUGUGUUGCCAUCUGCAACUGUUUAAGCAUUAAGCUCUCUUUCCACUUUUCUUUUCUUCCUAUAAGAGACGCCUUACAAUUUUCCUUUGUGACCAAUUGUUAGCCAUUCAUCCUAAUCCUUCCUUCAAAGAUACAAUGUCAGUUUUGUUCUAUUACGUGUGAAGCUGUUUGGGAAAAUUUCCUCUAUUAAAUUUUAAGUGCUAUAUAAAUGCAAGGUGUAGUUACUGAUUCCUGUGCAUUCUUGUCAUUAUGAUGGAGGGAAUGGAAAACUGGAGACCAGAAAAUAAAACUCAGUACUCACAUGGGAGUGGGAAGUUACCAUGGAAACAAGCUGGUCUGGUUAAGCGGCAUCACAUUGCCUCCACUGGCAAAGGUUAACCUGCAUGGCUCUGCUUAACUCUGCUAUUUCUGCACAGAUGUGAGCUUUUGUUGCCACAAAGGAUGGUAUCAUAGCAGCAAAAGUUAACAAUGGCCUGGAGUAUUAGAAGAAAUGGCAGUAAAGGGUUAAGAUAUGCAAGUUCCAUCUCUGCUUGUAAUUCUUUUGAGUUGUUAUUAAAAGCACGAAGGUACAGUUGAACAGUUGGCGACUUCUUUGCACUAAAAUUAAUUGCUGUAGUUUUAAUGCCAGAAAUAGUUAGCUUAUCUGUUGAUUAAUAUAUCAGCUCAGUAAUAGUCUUCGAUUCAGAGCUCCACUGUAGGACUGUUAAAGUCAACAGAGAGGAGUUUGUGUGCACUCUUAUCAGAAUAAUGGAUC